CUGCCUACUCUACUUGACAUCACAAUUUGGGACGGCACACUUCUUUCCCGACCGGGUUUUUUCACCAAAGAACACUUCAGACAUAUUUAAUAUUAAUUUUUGUUUCACGAAACAAUAAAAAGAGAAAACAAAAUUCACUAAAAACAUAUACAUUUUUAAAUCCAAAAACUCGCACGACGCACAACAAACGCAACUCGAAGAACCGCUUCGUUUAGUCAAUUUUGAAAUUUUUAUUUUGUAUCUGCCUUCGACCGGGUGGCGCCACCUUGUAUUAAAAUCCGUUAAAAUAUCGACCGCAGCGCCUAGAAACUCGCGUAAACACUGACUAUGUCUUUCUUUGUCUAACUUACUACCAGUAGCUUCCAUUCCACUUAUUUUUCUAGAAGCGGAUAUUUUGUGGGGACCAUUAGAAAUGUUUUAGUGCAUUCUAAAACGGAUUUAGAUUACUAAUUAAUUGUGAAGAAAAUUAGUGUUGCAUGGUGUUAUGUAUAAUAAAAAGACAAUAUGAUCCUGGUUGUGUAGAUGACGAAGUUGAACGAGCUGUACUUACUUUGCAAGAUACUUUAGAUGCUACCACUAGUGACACUAAGGUCAAUUGUUAUGAUCUUGGCCUCGAAACGAACGUUUACUUAACAGCAGAAAACAUUUUAGGAUAUUCAAAAGAGAAAGAAAAAUGAAAUUGACUUUAAACGUGAAGAAGAACUUUAACAGACAGUACUAUUUAUCCUUAUGCAAAAAGAUGUUCCUUUUCACCCUAGGAUCAUGAGAGUGGCAGUGACAGAAGACCGCACUGUUAUCAGCUUGAGGGCUUUAAAAGACAAACCCCAAAAUUUUUUUUCUUAAAUAAAUUUUAAUAUUGAGUAUCAAGCACUGCCUCAAAGAACAAAUCCGCAUCUCAAUAAUAAUGAAUACGAACAACUUCAUAUUCAAAAGAUAUUUGAUUUAAUCACCUUUAGCAGCUAAGCCAGUGAUACCUGCAGACUGUUGCUUGUUUUAUAGCAAUUUAAUUUUUCAACAACUUUCUCUGUGUUUUUAGAACUAAUUUCUUUGUAGAAGAACACAUUAGUUUAGUUUUGUAAAUUUUUAUUGUCUUGUAUUUAAAAUACAUGCCAAAUACUAAAUA